rnacentral:rRNA from 1 species
GAUGAACGCUGGCGGCGUGCUUAACACAUGCAAGUCGAACGAAGCACUUUGGACAGAUUCUUCGGAUGAAGUCCUUAGUGACUGAGUGGCGGACGGGUGAGUAACGCGUGGGUAACCUGCCUCAUACAGGGGGAUAACAGUUAGAAAUGGCUGCUAAUACCGCAUAAGCGCACGGUACUGCAUGGUACAGUGUGAAAAACUCCGGUGGUAUGAGAUGGACCCGCGUUGGAUUAGCUAGUUGGCAGGGUAAAGAAAGACCAAUGCGACGAUCCUUUGCCGGCCUGAGAGGGUGGACGGCCACAUUGGGACUGAGACACGGCCCAGACUCCUACGGGAGGCAGCAGUGGGGAAUAUUGCAAAAUGGGGGAAACCCUGAUGCAGCGACGCCGCGUGAGCGAAGAAGUAUUUCGGUAUGUAAAGCUCUAUCAGCAGGGAAGAAAAUGACGGUACCUGACUAAGAAGCCCCGGCUAACUACGUGCCAGCAGCCGCCGUAACAC